rnacentral:tRNA from 1 species
UAGGAUAUGGUGUAAUAUGGGAGCACGGGGGACUUUGAAUCUCCAGGUGCAGGUUCAAUUCCUGUAUUUCUAG